CUAUAGGACAGAGUAGAAUUGCCCCAUAGAGUUUCCAAGGGGCACCUGGUGCAUUUGAACUGCCAACCUUUUGGUUAGCAGCAGUAGCUCUUAACCACUAUGCCACCAGGGUUUCCUUAUAGUUGACGGGUGUCUGAAAAUAAGGAGAAAGCAUAUGGAGGACAGAAUAAUUGAAGCAAUUACUGUGGUGAAGAGUGCCAAGGACAUGCUGCAUAAUUAUGGCAACUACCCUAUUUCUAUACUGUUAAAUUCAAACUAUAACCCUUUCGCGAUUAAUUAGGUAUCUUUCUUUAUCUUUUUGCAUAUCAUUCAGGCUCAGAAAGGCAUCAUUCCCUUAAUGGAUCGUCUCAUACCUCCCAACAAUGUGACUGAGUUUAUUCUCCUAGGACUCACACAGAAUCCACACUUGCAGAAAAUACUUUUCAUUGUCUUUUUGUUCAUUUUCCUAUUUACUGUGCUGGCCAAUCUGCUCAUUGUCAUCACCAUCUCCCUCAGCCCUGCACUUUCAGCUCCCAUGUACUUCUUUCUCACCUACUUGUCCUUUAUAGAUGCCUCCUACACCUCCGUCACCACUCCUAAAAUGAUCAUCGACCUGCUCUACCAGAGGAGAAUCAUCUUGUUGGGCAGCUUCCUGACUCAGCUCUUUGUGGAACACUUCCUGGGAGGGUCAGAGAUCAUCCUCCUCAUUGUCAUGGCCUAUGACCGCUAUGUGCCCAUCUGCAAGCCCCUGCACUACACCACCAUCAUGCGACAGGGGCUCUGCCACCUCCUGGUAGUCGUGGCCUGGAUUGGUGGGAUUCUUCACGCCACAGGGCAGAUUCUCUUCAUGAUCAACUUGCCCUUCUGUGGCCCCAGUAUCAUUGAUCAUUUCAUGUGUGACCUCUUCCCACUGCUGAAGCUUGCCUGCAGAGACACCUACAUGCUUGGAAUGGUGGUGGCUGCCAACAGUGGGGCCAUGUGCUUGCUCAUUUUUUCCAUGUUACUCAUCUCCUACAUAGUCAUCCUAAGCUCCCUGAAAUGUCAUGGCUCUGAAGGGAGGCGCAAAGCCCUCUCCACCUGUGGUUCCCAUUUUACUGUAGUUGUACUCUUCUUUGUGCUCUGCAUAUUCACUUACAUGGGUCCUGUGGCCACUUACCCAGUGGACAAGUUGGUGACUGUGUUUUUUGCAAUCCUCACCCCCAUGUUAAAUCCUAUCAUUUAUACAGUCAGAAACACAGACGUAAAAAAUUCCAUGAGGAGUUUGUUGAAGACAAGGGUAACUUAG